rnacentral:misc_RNA from 1 species
GACGGAGACCGGUGACCGCGCGCGAGCGGCGAUCGCACAACGGGAUGCACCGCCUGAGAUAUACGCUUAUUUCGGGAGGAGUGGAUGUUCAGUGAGAAAACCCAAUCGCUGGGAACGAGUUCUCUCUCGUUGGACCAUCGCUCCUGCGUUUCAAAGUGCCCCAAGGGGAUCAGUGUGUUCGGCCGCUUUGAAAUUCGAUGUACACUCGCAUAUCUGCGGUGCAACCGACGAAAUCACCGACUCGAACUUGGACCAUCAGACACACGUCCGCUGGGUUCUCGCACCUUCGCACCCACGCGACGGCCGUUCAAUCACGACCGGUGAUCGUAAAGCCCGUAUCGCGGCUGCCAGCGCGACCAUGAAAAGAGCCGAUCACGCUUGGCCUCGAUCGGCUCACCUAUCGUGACACGACUGGUUCAGGUGCGAACGAACGCUUGCCAGCCAGGAAAAUCGACGCCGAUCCAAACGCGCUUGUCCACGAGGACGAAGACGAGUCGACACUUCCGCUCACUGUCAUCCUCGCGUCUCGGCGAUAUUAUAUGUAUGUAAUUAUCCACCCUCCUUUCCAGUCCGCGCGUUUGUCGUCGAAAGCGAGAAGAAACGAACAAGUUGGACCAUAUAUAUAUAUAUAUAUAUAUAUAUAUAUACUCAUUAAAUAUCAUUGCUGAUUAAAUAUCAUAGCGUCGGGCUUGUCCUCGAGCGUGUGCCGCGACAAGUCGCGCCAAUGACCGAUCCGCGCGGAUUCGAGCGGCACUUUCUACGUGUGAGUGCGAAAGUGCCGUUUCCGGCUGCUUUGUUCGAAAACAUCUCGCGGCCGUCGAAAGAAUCCACCCGGCCGAAUGAAGCCGAUAACGAGCUGCCGUUCGCGGACGCCGUUCGCGAGAUACCUCCGCGACGCGAGACGCAACGCGGACGCGAGGAAUAUUAUCCUGCACUUUCUCCGAACAGGCGAAAUAUGCAGUUCAGAGGAACAACUUCAGCUCUCUUCUUCUUGCCUCAUUUUUCGCGCCUCUACGGGCACUUUUGUACGUGACGGGACCUGAAUUACAUAAAACGGGGGAGAUUGCCGCGCGAGCCACGCGCGAGCCGGAGCGACGCGCGAUUUAAUCCCGUCUCGCCUUGGACACCGUGAAAGCUAAUUAUGACGACGGGAUCUCGUGCAAGAAGCGCAUUGAAAUAUUAGCAUAACACGACUGACGGCCGAGUGUUUCUUCGGCUUAUUGUGAUUACAAUUUACAUCGCUCGGGGAGAUAUCGCGGUCUGUAUCCGCGUCGCUCUAAUGGCAUGCAAAACAGCCGGAUUAUCGUGGUAUUACCUGAUUUAAUCAAGACGCUGGUCGUCUGGUCGGCCGAACGCGUCGAUUUAAAAUCGACGCGUAAUCCGCGCGUUCUUACGACGAACUCGACGAUAGAAAGUCGACUGCUACGAUAUUGUGAGUUUCGUAAUAAAAUCGAGGAAUGCUCGUUACGAUCGUGACAUGCCCGCCGGUUUGACAUAACGCUGUUAUUACGAUCGUUGCCGGUUCGUUCGCUUCGGGGACAAGAAUGGAUUAUAACGGCGAACGGAAGCAGGAAACAGGACUGUUCCCCAUUAGUCAUCCUUUCUUUCUUUCUUUUUUUUCAUUAGACGACGAAUGUUUCGUGCAUGACAACCGAGCGACAAGCGUGCGUAUAUAUGAUUCGAAAUACGCGCGCGCACGUCUUUGUUGUGUGUUUCAUCGUGUAAUCUCUUACUUUAAGUGAAUAAAUUUAAAAAGAAUCCGCGCGAAAGCGUGCGUCAGAUGAGUAAUGUUUUGUUGAAAAAUUUUAUCCUUAUCUUGCAUAAUUUAUAGACUAGAGAGAAUAUGGAUCAGACGUAAGAAGCCUGAGGCACAUCGCGAUCAUUUGUAGAAUCUAAAUAAGGGUUGAAUCCUAGCACUCGUCGUUCCGUUACGGUAACGGUAACGGUAACGCUUGUUACGGUGAUCGCGAUGUAUCACAAGAAAACAGACAUUGCACGGUAAUAAUUUGUUGUACGAUACUUUAGAUAAUGUACAUAUAACAUAUAUACCAAAUUACCUUUACACCCUAAGCAAAUUAACUCCUCACAUGAUUGAAUAAUUCUGAUAAUAAACGAUAAUUCUUUCUUGCAUGCAAGAAAACUGCUCGCAUAUUUUUCCUUCGAAUGUAGCGGUAAAACUCUUAUGGUAACACAACAUCUUCUUUUCCCCGCAUAUAGAUAAUGAAGUUUCCUGAAGUACUGUCACCUUGAGUUCACGAAAAUUUCUUGGUUUGGUCCAAAGUAAAUUUUAUGAAGAUCGAUAAAUUUACCCGAGACUUGAAAUUGUAAUUUGAGUUAUGACUAAAAAUCAAAUUUUAGCCGAGACUCAAACCACAAUUUACCGGCUGCCAUAAA